rnacentral:rRNA from 1 species
CAAGCGAACAAGUGCAUGUGGUGGAUGCCUUGGCGAUCACAGGCGAUGAAGGACGCGGUAGCCUGCGAAAAGCUACGGGGAGCUGGCAAACGAGCUUUGAUCCGUAGAUGUCCGAAUGGGGAAACCCGGCCCUUUUGGGUCAUCCUAGACUGAAUACAUAGGUCUAGUGAAGCGAACGCGGUGAACUGAAACAUCUAAGUAACCGCAGGAAAAGAAAUCAACCGAGAUUCCCAAAGUAGUGGCGAGCGAAAUGGGAUGAGCCUUGCACUCUUUAUUUGUAUUGUUAGCCGAACGCUCUGGAAAGUGCGGCCAUAGCAGGUGAUAGCCCUGUAGGCGAAAACAGUAUGAAAGAACUAGGUGUGCGACAAGUAGGGCGGGACACGUGAAAUCCUGUCUGAAGAUGGGGGGACCAUCCUCCAAGGCUAAAUACUCGUGAUCGACCGAUAGUGAACCAGUACCGUGAGGGAAAGGCGAAAAGAACCCCGGGAGGGGAGUGAAAUAGAUCCUGAAACCGCAUGCAUACAAACAGUCGGAGCCUCGCAAGGGGUGACGGCGUACCUUUUGUAUAAUGGGUCAGCGACUUACGUUCAGUAGCAAGCUUAACCGUAUAGGGCAGGCGUAGCGAAAGCGAGUCCGAAUAGGGCGUUCAGUUGCUGGGCGUAGACCCGAAACCAGGUGAUCUAUCCAUGGCCAGGAUGAAGGUGCGGUAACACGUACUGGAGGUCCGAACCCACUAACGUUGAAAAGUUAGGGGAUGAGCUGUGGAUAGGGGUGAAAGGCUAAACAAACCUGGAAAUAGCUGGUUCUCUCCGAAAACUAUUUAGGUAGUGCCUCGUGUCUCACCUUCGGGGGUAGAGCACUGUCAUGGUUGGGGGGUCUAUUGCAGAUUACCCCGCCAUAGCAAACUCCGAAUACCGAAGAGUGCAAUCACGGGAGACAGACAUCGGGUGCUAACGUCCGGUGUCAAGAGGGAAACAACCCAGACCGCCAGCUAAGGUCCCCAAAUAUAGCUAAGUGGGAAACGAAGUGGGAAGGCUAAAACAGUCAGGAGGUUGGCUUAGAAGCAGCCACCCUUUAAAGAAAGCGUAAUAGCUCACUGAUCGAGUCGUCCUGCGCGGAAGAUGUAACGGGGCUAAGCUAUAUACCGAAGCUGCGGAUGCGAGCUUGCUCGCAUGGUAGGAGAGCGUUCCGUAAGCCUGCGAAGGUGCCUUGUAAAGGGUGCUGGAGGUAUCGGAAGUGCGAAUGCUGACAUGAGUAGCGAUAAAGGGGGUGAAAGGCCCCCUCGCCGUAAGCCCAAGGUUUCCUACGCAACGUUCAUCGGCGUAGGGUGAGUCCGGCCCCUAAGGCGAGGCAGAAAUGCGUAGCUGAUGGGAAGCAGGUCAAUAUUCCUGCACCAUUGUUAGAUGCGAUGGGGGGACGGAUCGCGGAAGGUUGUCCGGGUGUUGGAAGUCCCGGUCGCUGCAUUGGAGAAGGCGCUUAGGCAAAUCCGGGCGCAGGAUUCAAGGGUGUGGCGCGAGCUCCUUAGGGAGCGAAGCAAUUGGAAGUGGUUCCAAGAAAAGCCUCUAAGCUUCAGUCUAACGAUGACCGUACCGCAAACCGACACAGGUGGGCGAGAUGAGUAUUCUAAGGCGCUUGAGAGAACUCGGGAGAAGGAACUCGGCAAAUUGGGUACCGUAACUUCGGGAUAAGGUACGCCCUUGUAGCUUGACUGGCCUGCGCCAGGAGGGUGAAGGGGUUGCAAUAAACUGGUGGCUGCGACUGUUUAAUAAAAACACAGCACUCUGCAAACACGAAAGUGGACGUAUAGGGUGUGACGCCUGCCCGGUGCCGGAAGAUUAAAUGAUGGGGUGCAAGCUCUUGAUUGAAGUCCCGGUAAACGGCGGCCGUAACUAUAACGGUCCUAAGGUAGCGAAAUUCCUUGUCGGGUAAGUUCCGACCUGCACGAAUGGCGUAACGAUGGCCACACUGUCUCCUCCCGAGACUCAGCGAAGUUGAAGUGUUUGUGAUGAUGCAAUCUACCCGCGGCUAGACGGAAAGACCCCAUGAACCUUUACUGUAGCUUUGCAUUGGACUUUGAACCGAUCUGUGUAGGAUAGGUGGGAGGCUAUGAAACCGGAACGCUAGUUUCGGUGGAGCCGUCCUUGAAAUACCACCCUGGUUUGUUUGAGGUUCUAACCUUGGCCCGUGAUCCGGGUCGGGGACAGUGCAUGGUAGGCAGUUUGACUGGGGCGGUCUCCUCCCAAAGCGUAACGGAGGAGUACGAAGGUACGCUAGGUACGGUCGGAAAUCGUGCUGAUAGUGCAAUGGCAUAAGCGUGCUUAACUGCGAGACCGACAAGUCGAGCAGGUGCGAAAGCAGGUCAUAGUGAUCCGGUGGUUCUGUAUGGAAGGGCCAUCGCUCAACGGAUAAAAGGUACUCUGGGGAUAACAGGCUGAUACCGCCCAAGAGUUCAUAUCGACGGCGGUGUUUGGCACCUCGAUGUCGGCUCAUCUCAUCCUGGGGCUGUAGCCGGUCCCAAGGGUAUGGCUGUUCGCCAUUUAAAGAGGUACGUGAGCUGGGUUUAAAACGUCGUGAGACAGUUUGGUCCCUAUCUGCCGUGGGCGUUGGAUAUUUGAAGGGGGCUGCUCCUAGUACGAGAGGACCGGAGUGGACGAACCUCUGGUGUACCGGUUGUCACGCCAGUGGCAUCGCCGGGUAGCUAUGUUCGGAAGAGAUAACCGCUGAAAGCAUCUAAGCGGGAAACUCGCCUUAAGAUGAGAUAUCCCUGGGGACUAGAUCCCCUUGAAGGGUCGUUCGAGACCAGGACGUUGAUAGGUCAGGUGUGUAAGCGCAGUAAUGCGUUCAGCUAA